rnacentral:rRNA from 1 species
GCAAUGGGGGUGGAUAGACUGCGUGUCGACGACCCCAAGCCAACAUGAGGUCGUGGCAUACGGCUCAGUAACACGUGGCUAACCUACCCUUAAGACAGGGACAACCCCGGGAAACUGGGGCUAAUCCCAGAUAGAUGAGAACCCCUGGAAUGGGUUUUCAUCCAAAGGGCACCGCGGUUAUGCUCUGUGGUGUCGCUCGAGGAUGGGGCCGCGUCCGAUCAGGCUGUUGGUGAGGCAAUGGCUCACCAAACCUAUAACCGGUACGGGCCGUGGGAGCGGGAGCCCGGAGAUGGGAACUGAGACAAGGUCCCAGGCCCUACGGGGCGCAGCAGUUACGAAAACUUGUCAAUGCACGAAAGUGUGAACGGGCUACCCCGAGUGCCGUCCGCUGAGGAUGGCUUUUCUCUGCUGUAAGAAGGCGGAGGAAUAAGGCGAGGGCAAGUCUGGUGUCAGCCGCCGCGGUAAUACCAGCUCGCCGAGUGGUAGGGAUGAUUAUUGGGCCUGAAGCGUCCGUAGCCGGCCUUUCAAGUCUCUUGUUAAAUCCAACGAUUCAAUCGCUGGACUGCAGGAGAUACUGUUAGGCUAGGGGGCGGGAGAAGCCGACGGUAUUUUCGGGGUAGGGGUAAAAUCCUAUAAUCCGGGGAAGACUACCAGUGGCGUAGGCGGUCGGCUAGCACGCGCUCGACGGUGAGGGACGAAAGCUGGGGGAGCGAACCGGAUUAGAUACCCGGGUAGUCUCAGCUGUAAACGAUGCUGGCUAGGGUGGUUGAAGCGGCUACGAGCCGCUUCAGUGCCGCAGGAAGCCAUUAAGCCAGCCGCCUGGGGAGUACGGCCGCAACGCUGAAACUUAAAGGAAUUGGCGGGGGAGCACCACAAGGGUGAAGCUUGCGGUUUAAUUGAGUCAACGCCGGGA